ensembl:lncRNA
UUCCCGCUGAAGUUUUGACUCUGUGCGCUACGUCACCUAUAACGUCACUCCUCUGUAAUUUAGUCUGAAAUUAUAGGUAGUUACGGAAAAAUACAUAGGUAUGUAUUAUGCAAGUAAAACACAUGUUAAGUACCGAACACAUUUUAAAGGAGCGUGUAUUCAUACUUAGAAAUACAAAUAUUCUGUCGAAUUUACUAACUGCGACUUUUAAAGGCAUACGGUUCUAAACCCUGGGAAUUCUCUACCCUGACUUGCUUUUCAACCAGCAGGAAAGCCAGCAGCUGCAAAGACAAACCUACCCGGCUUCAAAAAAUCCAAACAAAGAAAUGUUAGUGGGCUGUUUACAUAUCCGUGCGGAGGUAUAUCUGGGCUCGUGCUGAUGCAAUGCAGGGACGCCUGAAAGCUUUCAGUCCCUGCACACUGGACGACGUGGGAAAUGAAAGUGCCGUGCCGGAGAGCCCUGCCACGCACCGGGGACUACAGUACUGCAACUGAGCUCUGGGAUGGAGAGACAGGCUGCUGCCGCGUGAUCCUGUUCAAAUGACCUGCUGGCCCCAAAAGAAGAAGAAGAAAAAAAAGAGCAAGAGAGAGAGAGAGAGAGAAGGAGAAAGACACACUUGGUCUCUCUCUCUUCCUCAGAGCUCCAGCCUGCCCAUGAGGAUUUCUUGUUAGCUCAGAUGGUGGAAUCCCUUCCCUUCCCUUCCCUUCCCUUCCCACAGACAGACAGACAGACACCUAAGAGUGGAGUGUAAGCGCUGGAUGCCCUCCAGCCCGCUGGGCAGCACUGGGAUGCGGCGGCUCUUCGCUGCGCGCUAACCUUGAUCAAUACCCCGUUAUGGAUCCCUCAAACCCCUGUGCUCCCUAGGCCUCUUUGCUUCAAUAUCACGGCUGUUUGAACAGAGUAGCCGGCGGCCGCGCACACACACACACGAAACGGGGCUCCAGCCGGCCCCCGACGAGCUCCCCCAGCCCCUGAAACACACACACACACACACACACACACACACACACACUCACACACACGGUGUGCACCCGACUCCCCGUGAAGGGCACAGUGCAGAGAGGAGAGAAAGUUGGAGGGCCCGCGGGCGGAGGACAGCCAUGUCGUCUACCUGUAUAGCUGUUCCGCUCACACACCGGCUCAUCAGGACCAUGAGAGGGAGGAGGGGAAAGUACAAAAACAAGAGGGGGAAAAAAAUGAAUCAACUACUUCUUGGACCUCUAACUAAAACAACACAACAAAUCAUAAAAUAAAAACUUUUUUUCGUUGUUGUUUUUUUAUUAUUAUUAUUAAUGUUGUUUUAUUUUGGGAUGCAUGGAGGGCAGAAGAAGGGAGGGAAG